rnacentral:lncRNA from 1 species
UGGAGACAGGGCAGAUGGUAGAUGGAAAGUACCCAACAGUACACGAUGGUUUUUCUUUUCUUGUUAGUCCCUAGAAAGUCCCCAACCUAUUGCAGGCAGCCUCUUUCCCCUCUGUUUUACGCACACACUGGUCCACUCUAGAGGACCAGAGUCCCUGAACUUGCUGGCGUCCAUCCUUGGUAUCUUCAGCUAUCCAUGGCCCACACUCAUGUGUGCCUUCAAGGAGCCUCUCCUGGUAGAGAGAUACCCACUCGGCAUAACCCUGACACCUGGCAGCUAGACCCCCAGGAAAGGUCAUGUCCCUAUCCAGAGGCCCUGCUGGCCCUGGGAGAAAGCCCACAGGUGUCCUGACUAUGCAGACCUAGAACACGGAAUUCAUCCUGCAGACGGAUCUUCUGUGAAGUUUGCGAAAAUGUAGACUCCUGGUUUCCCUGCUCAGAAUGUAAAGGCCCCGCACGAAGUAUUUGUAUCUUCAAACAUGAAUCCUGCAGGGUUCUGGCACAGGGAAUUUUUAAGGGCCACGAGGAAGCACCCAUUGCAGGUCCA